UGGGGAAUUUUGGACAAUGGGCGCAAGCCUGAUCCAGCCAUGCCGCGUGCGGGAAGAAGGCCUUCGGGUUGUAAACCGCUUUUGUCAGGGAAGAAAUCUUCUGAGUUAAUACCUCGGGAGGAUGACGGUACCUGAAGAAUAAGCACCGGCUAACUACGUGCCAGCAGCCGCGGUAAUACGUAGGGUGCAAGCGUUAAUCGGAAUUACUGGGCGUAAAGCGUGCGCAGGCGGUUUUGUAAGACAGAGGUGAAAUCCCCGGGCUCAACCUGGGAACUGCCUUUGUGACUGCAAGGCUUGAGUGCGGCAGAGGGGGGCAUGGAAUUCCGCGUGUAGCAGUGAAAUUGCGUAGAUAUGCGGAGGAACACCGAUGGCGAAGGCAAUUCCCCCUGGGGCCUGCANUGACGCUCAUGCACGAAAGCGUGGGGAGCAAACAGGAUUAGAUACCCUGGUAGUCCNCGCCCUAAACGAUGUCAACUGGUUGUU
rnacentral:rRNA from 1 species